rnacentral:misc_RNA from 1 species
GAUGAAGAACGUAGCGAAAUGCGAUAAGUAAUGUGAAUUGCAGAAUUCAGUGAAUCAUCGAGUCUUUGAACGCACAUUGCGCCCCCUGGUAUUCCGGGGGGCAUGCCUGUCCGAGCGUCAUUACAACCCUCAAGCUCAGCUUGGUAUUGGGCCCCGCCGCUCCGGCGGGCCCUAAAGUCAGUGGCGGUGCCGUCCGGCUCCGAGCGUAGUAAUUCUUCUCGCUCUGGAGGCCCGGUCGUGUGCUCGCCAGCAACCCCCAAUUUUUUUCAGGUUGACCUCGGAUCAGGUAGGGAUACCCGCUGAACUUAAGCAUAUCAAUAAGCGGAGGA